CGAGUCAAAUGUGAUUAGCUGAACAAUACUCUCUGCCUCUCUGGCUCCGACUCCGCUUUCGAGAACCAUGUUUGCUCCCCUGUAGGUUCGAAAGAAAGCACCUUGCACUUUCAGUGGCUUCUCUGUCUUGGUUUCGAGCCACUGGAACGAGCUUCUGCAAUACUGUUGAAGAAAGAUCCGAAGCUCCAGGAGUCGGAGACUGCCACUUCUCUUGCUCCAAGUGCUGUUCUGUCUCAGAAUUUUUUUACCCAUGUUCUUGCUGAUUCUUGAGGUGACCCAAGUGUUUUAAGUGUUGAGUGUCACUGAUUGAGUUGAGGCGCGGAAUGUAGAUCUUUUCGGUUGCUGAACUGCAAAUUCUGGUGCUCGUUCAAGGUUUUGUGGGUUUGUUUGUUUUUAUUUGGGAUUUGCUUCUGGGAAUUUUGGGCUUGGUGUUCUUGGUGAUUCUAGUUGGUUUAAGAGGUCAGUUGUAGCUCAAAAGUUCAUAGUCCUUAAUUGAGAGCUGCAGCACUCCGAAGUGAAGUGGGUUUCAAGAAUUUUUGCUUGAGAUGUGAGGGAAUGGAAACUCGAGAAUGCUGAUGCAAUUAUAUGUUGGCUUCGAUAGGCAGUUCACGAAUUGUAUGAGCACAAUUAGCUCAGGAUGGUGUCCUCAGGAAGGUACAAGCUUUGAACUUUUUUCAGUGCCAGCGCGAUAGGCUACAGGUUGAUUUGUAUGUUUAUCUGGUUGAGUUAUUUGGGCUAUUGAUUCAGGGGAACUUAGGUGUUGAUUUAAGAUUCUUGCGCUCAUAGAGAUGGCCAGGACUUUAUUGUUGGUUUGAAGUAGUUCUUAAAAAUAGGAUCGCUAGAUGGUGUUUGGUUGGUUUAACUUAGCCAUUGAAGGAACCCGGAGAAGCAGUUGAACCUUUGACUGAGCUUUCCCUAUGGCAUCCAUUAGAAGGACCUUGUCCCCCAUUCCUCGACCUGGAACUACGCUAAACGGUGAAGCCUGUUCAGUUUCAUCUCCUUUGUCGAAGUCAUCUUCUUGUGCCCUGACCUCGAGUCAAACACCAUCAGGUGGAAUGCUGUCAAUUUUGGUGGGCUUAUUGGAUUCUCUGGCUUUUGCACUUGGAGUUUUCUCUCAACGACCCUCUAGGCCUUUUGAUAGACCAAAACCGAGAGGGCAAACUUGGAGAAGGGCAUUAUUUCAUUUCUUCAUUUGUUUCAUCAUUGGGAUGUUCAUUGGAGUUACCCAGUUUGCCUCGAUGAAUGCAUCAAUGAACUUCCUUUUGAAGAACCAUGCCUUAUCCUUUGAGCGGAGCACAAGUUUCAGGAAUAAUCAGUUGCCCGAUGACACAGCUAGAAAUGUGACACCAUUUUACAGUAUGAGCCAUGAGAAUGACUCUACCAUGCAGCUACAAUCACAUCAGCAGCUGUCGUAUUUGAUUGCCCAAAAUAGCAGUAAUAAUGUAUCGGCUACUAGAUAUGCACACGGGGAAGUUCAGAAGCUUCUGAUUGUUGUGACCCCGACACAGAGACACCCGCUUCAAGCCUAUUAUCUCAAUCGUCUGUCACAGACACUGAAGCUCGUACCACCUCCUUUGUUGUGGAUAGUUGUGGAGAUGACCUCGCAGUCUCCAGAAACAGCUGACAUAUUGAGGAAGACUGGUAUGAUGUAUCGGCAUCUCGUGUGCGAUAAAAAUCUGACCGAGUUCACAGAUGUAAGAAUUCACCAAAGGAAUGUGGCGUUAUCUCACAUUGAAACACACCAUCUUGACGGAACAGUUUUCUUCGCAGAUGAGGAUAAUAUCUACGCAACUGAUCUAUUUGAUCAAAUGAGGCAAAUUAGGCGCUUUGGAACUUGGCUGGUGGCCAAAGUAACGGAUAGCAGAAGCAGAGCCAUACUGGAGGGUCCCAUUUGUAAUGGCACUACUGUACUUGGGUGGCAUACAAAUGAAUCAAGAAGGGGAUUCAAAAGAUUUUAUGCCGAACUAUCAGGAUUUGCCUUCAAUAGCACAAUACUUUGGGAUCCCAAGAGAUGGCACAGACCCACCGUUGAACCCAUCAGGCUGUUUGACACGCCAAAAGAUAAAUUCCCGGUGAGCACAUUAGUUGAACAAAUUGUGGAGGAUGAGAGCCAGAUGGAAGGCUUACUCCACAACUGUUCAAGGGUGAUGGUUUGGCAUCUUCAUUUGGAUCCAUCUGGUUACUUUUAUCCACAGAGUUGGUUCACAAAGAGUUAUCUCAAUGCCACUGCCUCACUGACAUAGCAGUUUGUGGUGGGAAAGUUGUUCAAAAUUGGUACUUCAAGGUGAUGCAAUUUCUACUAUCUCUAUUCACUGCAUACCUUGUCAACGAUAUGUCUGGAUGUAUUCAAUUGUGUAUUGUUGCUAUGGAGAUGAAAGACGUCAUAGGAAUUGGUCCAGUAAAGACAGAAAUCUGCUGGGCAUGGUGGUCAUACUCACGACCUCUUCAUUUGAACUGGUGAAGAAGAUAGUUACAUUCGUCCUCAUAAUCUAUUUUGGUGGUUAAGCAGAGACGAAUUUUGGCUUUUAGGCCAGUGCUGUACAAAUAAGAGCUGCCUAUCCUGCAUUUGAUAGUUUUCAUUGCGAUGACCCAGCAAGAAGGCCUUGUUUUUUUCCGCAUGUUUGAAAAGACCAGUUGUACCUUGCUAUGAGAAGGCGGUUUCACAUGAAAUAAAUCUAUGUUAACACAAGAUAUCGUGCUCGAAUCAUCUUCCAUUCUGCUUCCAUUGU